AUUGAACGCUGGCGGCAGGCCUAACACAUGCAAGUCGAGCGGAUGAAGGGAGCUUGCUCCUGGAUUCAGCGGCGGACGGGUGAGUAAUGCCUAGGAAUCUGCCUGGUAGUGGGGGAUAACGUCCGGAAACGGGCGCUAAUACCGCAUACGUCCUGAGGGAGAAAGUGGGGGAUCUUCGGACCUCACGCUAUCAGAUGAGCCUAGGUCGGAUUAGCUAGUUGGUGGGGUAAAGGCCUACCAAGGCGACGAUCCGUAACUGGUCUGAGAGGAUGAUCAGUCACACUGGAACUGAGACACGGUCCAGACUCCUACGGGAGGCAGCAGUGGGGAAUAUUGGACAAAGGGCGAAAGCCUGAUCCAGCCAUGCCGCGUGUGUGAAGAAGGUCUUCGGAUUGUAAAGCACUUUAAGUCGGGAGGAAGGGCAGUAAGUUAAUACCUUGCUGUUUUGACGUUACCGACAGAAUAAGCACCGGCUAACUUCGUG
rnacentral:rRNA from 1 species